AUGAACGCUAGCGGCAGGCUUAAUACAUGCAAGGCGAGGGGGCAGCAAUGUCACCGUCGUACGGGUGCGUAACGCGUAUGCAACCUACCUUCAACUGGGGGAUAGCCCGGGGAAACCCGGAUUAAUACCGCAUAAUACAUUUGGGCCACCUGGUUUGAUUUGUUAAAGAUUUAUUGGUUGAAGAUGGGCAUGCGUUCGAUUAGCUAGUUGGCGGGGUAACGGCCCACCAAGGCGACGAUCGAUAGGGGAGCUGAGAGGUUGAUCCCCCACACGGGCACUGAGAUACGGGCCCGACUCCUACGGGAGGCAGCAGUAGGGAAUAUUGGGCAAUGGAUGCAAGUCUGACCCAGCCAUGCCGCGUGCCGGAUGAAGGCCCUCAGGGUUGUAAACGGCUUUUAUUCGGGAAGAAGAGCAGGGAUGCGUCCUUGUGUGACGGUACCGAAUGAAUAAGCACCGGCUAACUCCGU
rnacentral:rRNA from 1 species